rnacentral:rRNA from 1 species
UACGUAGGGUGCGAGCGUUAAUCGGAAUUACUGGGCGUAAAGCGUGCGCAGGCGGUUCGUUAAGUUCGUUGUGAAAGCCCCGGGCUCAACCUGGGAACUGCAAUGGAAACUGGCGGGCUUGAGUGUGGCAGAGGGGGGUGGAAUUCCGCGUGUAGCAGUGAAAUGCGUAGAGAUGCGGAGGAACACCGAUGGCGAAGGCAGGUCUCUGGGCUAUAACUGACGCUCAUGCACGAAAGCGUGGGGAGCAAACAGG